AUACAUAUAUAUUGAUCACAAGUUAAAAAACAACAACAUUGACAAAGCAAAGUUUGGCCAUCUUGACCACCAUCGAGAAACACAAGUCACAUAAAAGGACCACUAUUUGUUAUUCUAAAAGAAUUGAAACACGAAAUGGUCCAAAAGACUUAAAAGUCAAAUCCAUGGCCACAAGAUUUCUACUCCACAACACUUGAAGCACCAAAUGGUCCAGAACGCACAUAAGAUUCAUGAUUACAAGUUGGCUAGUCCGAAAUACUACAAACGACCAGAUGCUACAUAAGACUACGAAGUCAUCACAUCCAUGCGCACUAGGUGGCUGAGUACCUGAAAAUAUUCCACAAGAUCUUAAUGAUAAGCGAAUAAUGAAAUUAUGCUCACUUAGUAUCUGACAUAAGUGCAAAUAUCAUUUCGUACUAACACCUAAUUAAUACAUAGACAUGUAUCAAAUGUUUUACGCCAAAGUGGAUUCAUAAGAAAUAUUACCAAUAUCGAGGAAAAUUGUCAUAGGUAUCCUGAGGCUUUGGGUCAAAUUCUCAUACGUUCAAACUGAAUGUGACUGCCAACAUGUGAUGUGCUACUCACGUGUAGAUAUGAGAAAAUGCAUGGGUGUACCCCCAACAAUUUUGCACAUUUCAUAGUUUGGAAAUAAUUAUCAAAAAUAAUUGUGGUUGUAUGUUAUCUGAUGAAGUAGAACCAAAAUGUACAGCUUCAGACAAAAAAACUACAGUAUGGUGAUGUUCUGUAUAUGCCAUGUGAUCUUCAGUUUUGUAUACAUAUUGAUCUAUGCUAAUUCCUAAGGAAUGUAUGUGGGCAUCAAAUAACAUCAUGUGAUUUCUAUAUUUUCAAUUUUAAAACUGCAGUGUGCAUACUUCCGAGACAAGAACAAAAAACUUAUUGUAUGCAAUAUGUUGUAGUACCUGCAUGUCCUUGCACAUCAGUUGCCUUCUUUUCAUCCUUGAUUUACAAAAAUAAUCGUUACUUUUUAAUAGGUCUUCUAAUAGACAAUUGAUGAAAUCCUUGUAUUCUACAUUCAAAUGAAACAUUAUAGAGGUUAAGUAUAAUAGAACUAUAAUGAAAUCAUAGCACACAAUCUUUAUUGCAAAAAAGGAAGUCCAAAAAAUGUCUACACAUGAAGCUCCAGCCAAACAUGGCUCACAAAUGAUGUUCAAGUAAUAUUAGGCCAUCACCAGAAUGAACACGAACAUCUCAUAAAACCACCAUGUACCACCAUUAUUAAGAUUGAAGUACUGUCUUAUUCUUGAACCAGAUUGCCAUUAUUAAGAUUGAAGUCCUCGUCCUCCUACAGCUUACAGCCCUAAGUGGGAUAAUAGGCUAUAAUUAGUUAUAAAUCAGCUCAAACCUGCAACAAGCUAGCCAUCUUUUCCAUUCUAAACAGGCAUCUUAGCGUGAAUACCUUUCUACAGUGAGUUACAUAUCUACUCAAACCUGCUACGAACUAGGCUGGAAUUUAAUGGGCUACAUGCCAGCUACAAAAAAUAAGUGGCACUCCAUAAUUAUUAUAAAUAACUCCAUAGACAUUAUCCAUCGCAAUAUUAGGUUAUUAGCGCAAACUAAAUGGCAGCUAGAAAAACAGAGGCAAAAAAUGCCUGCCCUGGAAGCACAAAAUAUGCUUCAGGACAAACACAAACUGCGAUAUCCACUUCUUGCUAGUCAGGAAGACAGCUCCAACACAGCGCCUUAGUCUACAUCAUUGAAAAUAUGGGUGCUCCAUGACCUUUCAUUGCAGAGAUCCUCUUUGUUGACUCGUCCUUACUGCCGCAUUUUCUGCAAGGAUCAGAACCGUAAGUUAGUACAAGAUUCUUACAAGAACCCCUCUUCUUCUCUGUUUUUCUGCAAGGAUCGAGUAGCACGGAUACACAUGUCAAGACUAAUACAGUAGACAGUUUUGAGAAGUUCCAGUGAGGGUACUCUCAAAAAAAAGUAGGAUACUCGUGCAAGUUUGGGAGCUUGCCUACCCCUGGCCAUACAUCAUCAUCCCGAGUGCCCGACAACCUAGCAUUCAAAAACUAAGAUAGCCCAUCUACUUUCAAUACCUCCUACUAACGCCAAUUCAAUAACGAAGAUAGUCCAUCUAUAUUCGAUACCUCCUACUAACGCCAAUCGAUAAGAUAAUUAACAUGUGGCAAUGUGUGUGGAUCCAAGGAACUCAGGGUCCCCGUACUAGAGUAAGGAUCCACGAAUGAGUUUAGAUGUGUCACGAAUAGAUCAAGGAAGGGGAAUAGUGCAGAAUCAGCCAUGAUCAGGUGCAAUAAUGCUAAUAGAAGCAGUUGGAAAUUUCAGUUGCUCGGCAAAACCCACUGAAAAACUAAGCACCAUAAGCCCAG
rnacentral:lncRNA from 1 species